GAGCUCUACUAUAAGAAGUUAGAUUUGAUGAAGGAGAUGAUUGGGGAUGUUCUGCAAUCUCUAAAAGAUUAGGACGCCAUUAUAAGAUCCAUCUUGUUAUUCUCACCUCUUGUUGUCCUAAUCGCUCAAGAUGUUUUUGUGGUGUCACUGGAUAAGACCAGAAAAGCAACACGCAAUGCAGUAAAUAUUUUUGCCAUUCCAUUCAGUGCAAAUGGUAGGCUUUAUGAUGGCUAUUGCAUUAGGCAUUGCCAACGUUGAUUAUGGAACUUGUUAUAUUAUUUCCUUUUAUUUUGCUUUUGAAUGGAUGAAUGAAAGUAAACUUGAUCUGGGAAGCGAUGCAUAAUUUGUUGGACAUGAAAUGUAUGCAAAAUUUAAGCUUUCUUAUGAACAAGCAUUCACUAGU